rnacentral:pre_miRNA from 1 species
UUUGUACUCCCUCCAUUCCAAAUUACUCAUCGCAGAAAUGGAUGUAUCUAGAACUAAAAUACAUCUAGAUACAUCCAUACCUGCGACAAGUAAUUCGGAACGGAGGGAGUACAAC